GUAUUUUGCCAACAUCUUCUUACCAUAGAAAAAUCGCUAAUUCCUAAAAGAGAGAAGGCAAACGCUUGCCUGCACCAAAAGUGCACAGACAAGAACGUUGGCCUGUUGUUCUAACUGAAGGAUUUAAAACGAAUGUUUCUGUUUAAAACAUCACAACGUUAUUUUAUUAUUAUUUUUUUUAUUAUUAUUUAGCCUAUAGAAUGACCGGUUUCAUCUAUAGUUUGAGGAUAGUUUAAAUUAGUUAAAAAAAACAUUUGAUAUGUCCGUGCACCACCUGGGGCUCUGGCAGGGGCUUGACCACUUCCACUGGUAGGAGCCAUCUGGUAACAGGUGUUUUUUGUGUCCGGAGAUCCCUGCAGGAAAGGCACCACAGAAUGAUGGAUUUUACCAGUGGAUUCAAAACCAACACUUCUCAUACUUCAAACAGACAGAGCUCUACCACCACUUCUCCCUCUGCAGAGAGCUGCUCCAGGAUAUUAAGGAGAAGACUUGGGGACCUUCUGCGUGAGAGUGGACCACUUGCUUCACAUGGCCCUUCGGAGGGACCCAGGCCAGAGGGCUCACUACCAGGCCCACUACGCCUUCAUCAAGGCCUUCCAACUCCCGGUGGGCUCCAGCAUCAUGGCCGCCUGUCGCCUCACCUAUGAUUCUGGCUCGUACGUUCUACUGAUUCUUUGAAGAAGAGGACAAAUGUCUUCCCACACAUCUGGUUGGUAUCUCAAUGGGAAUGUCCCAUUGAAAUUAAAAAACAAUUUUUCAAGGUAGUCCUGGCCAAGAGGCAGCAAAAAAGACAGCAAAAAGCAAAAGAGUUGUCAGUUGUUGGUGCACAGCGCCCCCCGGGGGACGGGAUGCGCCGAGGCAGAAGGUGUGGCGGAUAAGGGUGUUGCAGGAACCUGGGUCAGCGAUCUUCUGCUACACUGCAGUGGUACCUCUGAACGAGGGCUCCCCUUGGGGGACGUCAGGCGAGGGGCGACCAUCCAUCUGGACUACAAGAAGCAUGAGAAAGAAACGUUCUUGGAAAGCCGUCAGCAGGCUCAUCCGAAGCAUCUGUCCAUUUCGACGUCGCACCAUGAGGAACUCUGAAACGUGGACCCCGGUUUUGAGGCCUACCUCGUACACCGGCGGGCUGUUUACUCCACAAGCACGCGGUUUUAUAGAUGGACACUUUCUAACGAUCCGUCUCUGUGUCGUUAGGGAGUCCGUCCUGUAUUCGUGGACAGGCCUACAUGGCCUCCAUUUUAAAGGGGUGAUAUUAUGCCACCAGGAGGCCAGCGUGCCCUGCUGACAGAGAUGAGCCCUCAGAAGAGAGAGACUACAGCUCGCUCAAACUGAAGGCUGACGUCGUCGUUGAUUCUAUCUCCUGCGCUGAAAUGUUCGACCGGCUCAGGGCAGAUCAACAUUUCAAUGGAUAUGUCGCUGUCCAUCAGGCAGCUUGGCGGGCAGAGUGGACAGGAGUCUAUUUCCUGAGGCCAUAUUCUCUGUGUUUCCUACUCCGCUCUACUGCGUGCUUGCAAGGAUACAGACGAGACCAGGUCCACAUCACAUCAAUAGUACAGGAACAGGUUAAAUAAGAUACAUUUAGAUGCAUUGAGAACAUUGUGUUACAAAUGUUGUUGUUUUUGUCUUAUCAUUUAUUGAGCAAAAGUCUGAACCGAGAUGGACCAAACAGCGACUGGUUAUUUGCUGCCACCUUAAUGAAAAAUUGCCCCACUGUCCAGCGUUACUUCUCCUUUAGAACGAAAAUAUAGCAUAAGCAUACCGCAAAUGCUGUCAGUACUCUUUGCAUACAACGUAGAGCCAGCAUACCCCAGCAGGGGGCAGCACCUACCAGAUUAACGUCUGGCAUAAAGGGUUUUCACGUCCGAUGUCAAUGCAAAGCCAGGGUAGCAUUUUAUAAAUCGAGUUGACCUAUGAAAACAAUAGAAUUAUGCCUAUGAAUAGUUUUGUCCAACUGAUGAUGUGUUUUGUAAGAUUAUUAAAAAAAACGGAUUAUGCAUACAAAUUAAGAAUUCUCUUACUUAUUUAUUUUAUUUUAUGUGCCUUACACCAAACCUUCUUUGUCAAUGUAAAUGAGGGCAUUGAUGAAAAUAAGGAUAUUCCUAGAUAAUGAGGCAAAACGAAUUUCAAU
ensembl:lncRNA